rnacentral:sRNA from 1 species
CGAUGCUGCACAGUUUCUUCCUCCUGAAGCAACAAUAUUGCUCCGAUUUUCAACAUUUUCUCUUUAAUUCAAUGCCAAUUUUUUUGUAUUUUACUUUCAUUCAGUAUGCACUGAUAGCCUUACAAAACUUGUAAUAGCUGAUUAAAGAAGGGAACAAACAUGUCGCAGGAGUUUAAUGAUUGUAAAAUCUCUUUCGAGGGGAAUUCAGAUCUCAUGGGAAUAAAAAUUCCACAUAUUUUUCCCGAUAGGGGUGAUUGAGUCAGGUUUUAACAUUAUUCGAAAAUUUCCAUUAAUAGCUUUCCCAUUUUUUGUUUCUCUGUCAACUGUUUUUUCUCGUUCGUAUCAUAAAGUUAUGAAUAUAAAUACAGGAUUUAAUAAUUAGUUUUGCUCUGUCUGGACCACAGUACAUAGUAUUGGAAGGACAAUAAUUUCUGGAACACAAGAUUCCAAAUGCAUUUUCCACACAUCGUCGGGAUCUGGUUUCAUUAUUCGGCGAUGCAGUGGAAAUGCGUCAUCAGCAACAAACACAUAGGGAUGGCAAUUUGAAUCAGAUGUUGGAAAAGGCAAUAUAUUUUGCCUUAUAGCUUUUCUUAGAGAACAAUUUUGAAAUAUGCCGCCAUCUCCUUCUGAUCCGUAUGCUCCUACGUCGAAAUACCCUACAAAAAAACUAAGUAUUUUAUAUCUUAAAUUAGUUUACCAUUACUUCCUUUGUAAUUGUAAAACAAGCUCCCUGAUGGAGAGGUGCUUUCCGUCAAUUUCACCAACGCAAUUAGGAAAAUUCCAUUUGGUGAAGGUUUUGGCAUUUGCCUCCAUGUUUUCGGAAGACAUAACUAGAACCUCAUUAUUUAGUUCUGUGCAAAGGUCGCAGCAAACUUUAUCUAAAAUCCUACCAAAAUGAUGCUUGCUUGCACGAUAACCAUAAGUCCCACAUUUCAACAUAUCCAUAGAUAUACCAAGAUAGCCGGCCAUCCGGCAAGUGUCGGAUUAACCCGAUGGAGUACUUCAUCGGCCAAACUCUGCCGCCUUAGGACCACAACACACUGCUAGGACAACACACCGAUUUUUAUAAAAUUUAACAAAAAUGUCAAGAGUUAUUAGAGAAAUAAAUAUGCCAAUUUACGUGUCAAUCGGUUGACAAAUGACAA